GACGAACGCUGGCGGCGUGCUUAACACAUGCAAGUCGAGCGGUAAGGCCCUUUCGGGGGUACACGAGCGGCGAACGGGUAGAGUAACACGUGGGUGACCUGCCUCAGCUCUGGGAUAAGCCUGGGAAACCGGGUCUAAUACCGGAUAUGACUCCAUGACGCAUGUUGGUGGGGUGGAAAGCCUUGUGCGGCUGAGGAUGGGCCCGCGGCCUAUCAGCUUGUUGGUGGGGU
rnacentral:rRNA from 1 species